rnacentral:rRNA from 1 species
AGCCUGAUGCAGCGACGCCGCGUGGGGGAUGACGGCCUUCGGGUUGUAAACCCCUUUCAGCACAGACGAAGCGCAAGUGACGGUAUGUGCAGAAGAAGGACCGGCCAACUACGUGCCAGCAGCCGCGGUAAUACGUAGGGUCCGAGCGUUGUCCGGAAUUACUGGGCGUAAAGAGCUCGUAGGUGGUUUGUCGCGUUGUUCGUGAAAACUCACAGCUCAACUGUGGGCGUGCGGGCGAUACGGGCAGACUAGAGUACUGCAGGGGAGACUGGAAUUCCUGGUGUAGCGGUGGAAUGCGCAGAUAUCAGGAGGAACACCGGUGGCGAAGGCGGGUCUCUGGGCAGUAACUGACGCUGAGGAGCGAAAGCGUGGGGAGCGAACAGGAUUAGAUACCCUGGUAGUCCACGCCGUAAACGGUGGGUACUAGGUGUGGGUUUCCUUCCUUGGGAUCCGUGCCGUAGCUAACGCAUUAAGUACCCCGCCUGGGGAGUACGGCCGCAAGGCUAAAACUCAAA